UACGAAGGGGGCUAGCGUUGCUCGGAAUUACUGGGCGUAAAGCGCACGUAGGCGGAUUUCUAAGUCAGGGGUGAAAUCCUGGAGCUCAACUCCAGAACUGCCUUUGAUACUGGCGAUCUUGAGUCCGGAAGAGGUGAGUGGAACUGCGAGUGUAGAGGUGAAAUUCGUAGAUAUUCGCAAGAACACCAGUGGCGAAGGCGGCUCACUGGCCCGGUACUGACGCUGAGGUGCGAAAGCGUGGGGAGCAAACAGG
rnacentral:rRNA from 1 species